CCUGUCCCCAAAAAGGAGCUUCCUUUUUGUCUCUUUUUACAUAAAUGUAUUGUCUGCAUAAUGGUGGGCAAGAGCCUCUGCAGUUAUACAGAGUUUCAGCCCAACGCUGGCAGCAGGGAGAUGUCCCUGGGAUGCCUUUUCCCAGGACACUGAACUGUGGGAUACCAGGAUUUAAAAGGUUGCUUUGCAGUUCACAGCUGAAAUAAAGAUGACUUCAAAACAGAGAUACUCACACACACAGAGGACUAUUCCCAAACCAAAAGCAUCUCUCCAUUUAACACAGUCCAAGAGAGGGCAAGGUAUCUGGUUUUCGCUAAAUCCACUGCUGAGAAAAUGAAAACUGUGCUGGCCUCCCACAUCUUCAUGAUGGAUAACAGUUACUUCAAAGAAGCCAAGCCUAGCAUAGACGAAGAGCAAAAGAAAAAGGCCAGGGUCUUCAGGCUGCUCAGAGCUGCAGAAGCCCACAAUCACCUUGAAACCUGAGACUCUGCUAUCAGGAGUUGGGGCAAAGGAAAUAAAUCAUCCAAUACCCUGCCAGCAAACUGCCACAGGCGCUUUGAGACGGGAGGCGUUUCUCCAGCCCUGAAAGAGCAUUAAAAAAGAACUGGCUGAUAACUUGGACAGGGUUCAGAAAGAAGAGGGGAAAGUGAGAAAACAUCUAUAUUCCUACUUCUUUUCUUUAUUCCCCUGGACUGAGGCGAAUCUACCAGCAACAGAUACAGCUUGGGAACUAGCAUCUGAGCUGUUUCCUCAGUGCACAGCACCCUGCUCUCCUUUACAUCAUCAUCUCACACCGCUUUUGUAUUACAGAGGAGUCACAUAAGGCAAUACUAGAUGAUGAAAGAAGUGGAGUAUUUAUUAGAAGACCCUAAAACUUUGAGGAACUCUUUAGAAUAACUCAAGACAGCUGAUGAAUUGGGAUGGGGGACAAGGAAUAGCCAGAUGUUUCAGCUACUGAGUUAAAUUAAUUGUUUCCUAACCUGUGCAACAGCUUCAGCUACAGUAGAUGGGCCUUCAGCGCUUGCAGUGUGGAAGAGCUAGAGGAACAGGCAGGCUGGCCACACAAGUUAGCCCAGGAUCUUACUAUUGUAAGAUGUAAAUAUAAAUGUAAAUCCUGCAACUUGAUUGCAUUUGCUCUGGAAUUGCAGGCACAUAAAUCAGGCUGUAAUCCAAGCUUCAGCCAUUUCAGUGUCACCUGAUCAAUCAGAAAUAGGGAUUGUAUGGUGUUAAACCAAAAACCACAUACAGAAAUUGUUCUGCAUAUAGAAGUUGUUCUCAGCUUAGCAUAUAAGUGAGAAACCUCAAAGUCAUGAGCAGUUUUUCCCAACAGUGAGUCCUGGACCUUGCUGUCUUAAAACAGAAAUAUCAGAAUGAUACUUGUUCACACAGUCAUAACCAUCAUUUUCUUUGUCUGCUGUCUUGUAGCCAGCGGGUCAUGUACACUUGUGUUUAGAUGUGUCCACAGAGGAAUCCAAUCUUCAAAUAAAGAGCUGCAACAGAA